CUGUAGCAAUACAGGAGCGGCGCACGGGUGCGUAACACGUGGGAAUAUGCCUUUUGGUACGGAACAACUCCGGGAAACUGGAGCUAAUACCGUAUGGUCCCUUCGGGGUAAAGAUUUAUCGCCAAAAGAUUAGCCCGCGGUGGAUUAGCUAGUUGGUAGGGUAAUGGCCUACCAAGGCGACGAUCCAUAGCUGGUCUGAGAGGACGAUCAGCCACACUGGGACUGAGACACGGCCCAGACUCCUACGGGAGGCAGCAGUUAGGAAUAUUGGACAAUGGGCGCAAGCCUGAUCCAGCCAUGCCGCGUGAGCGAUGAAGGCCUUCGGGUUGUAAAGCUCUUUAGCCGACGAAUAUAAUGACUGUAGUCGGAGAAUAAGCCCCGGCUAACUUCGUGCCAGCAGCCGCGGUAAUACGAAGGGGGCGAGCGUUAUUCGGAAUCACUGGGCGUAAAGCGUGCGUAGGCUGUCCUGAAAGUUGGGAGUGAAAGCCCAGGGCUCAACCCUGGAAUUGCUCUCAAAACUACAGGACUUGGAUUCGGGAGAGGAUAGCGGAAUUGUCAGUGUAGCAGUGAAAUGCGUAGAUAUUGACAGGAACACCAGUGGCGCAAGCGGCUAUCUGGACCGACAUCGACGCUGAGGCACGAAAGCGUGGGGAUCAAACAGGAUUAGAUACCCUGGUAGUCCACGCCGUAAACGAUGUGUGUUUGUCGCCGGGAAGUUCACUUUUCGGUGACGCAGCUAACGCGUUAAGCACACCGCCUGGGAAGUACGGCCGCAAGGUUAAAACUCAAAGGAAUUGACGGGGACCCGCACAAGCGGUGGAGUAUGUGGUUUAAUUCGUCGCAACGCGAAGAACCUUACCAGGCCUUGACAUGCCCUCUAUGAUGCCCAGAGACGGGUGUCUUCACUUCGGGUGGGAGGGACACAGGUGCUGCAUGGCUGUCGUCAGCUCGUGUCGUGAGAUGUUGGGUUAAGUCCCGCAACGAGCGCAACCCC
rnacentral:rRNA from 1 species